AUUUUCCUCUAUAAAUACAAGAGAAAUACUCUUGUUGUUUCUCUUUUCCUUCUACCUGCUCCUCAAGAAAAACCCUCCUUACACCACAAACUGCAAGUCCCCCAAUGAAUGGAAGACCCAAAUACGACGUCGUUACCUCCUGGUUGUCGAUUUUACCCUUCUGAGGAGCAGCUUCUUGACUACUAUUUACCCAGUAAGAACAACAAUCCUCAAUUGGGAUUAUCUUCUUCUUCAAAACCCAAUUUUUAUGAAGUAAUUAAGGAGAUUAAUCUUUAUGAUUUUAACCCAUUUGACCUUCCUGAAGUUACUUGUUUUAGGUUUGGGUAUAAGGGGAGAAAGCGCCAUUGGUAUUGUUUUACUGAAAGGGUUAAUGGUGGUGAAAGUAGGGAAAGUAGGAGAAGAGCUGGAUUUGGGUUUUGGAAGAUGAAGGGUAAGGUUAGGGAUGUAAUGGGUAAUGGUGGGAAAGUUAUUUUGGGUAGGAGGAAAUCUUUUAAUUUCUAUUUGGAGAAAUUUAAUGGCAAAAGUGAUGUUAGGACUGAUUGGGUUAUGUAUGAGUAUGCGCUCAUUGAUAAUCUUAAGGCCUCGUUUGUUGUAUGCCGAGUGUUUGUCAAAUCUCGUGGCCGAAAUAGCGUUUCAGAGCACGCGUUAAGUUCUUGUGCUGAAGAAAGCAUUGCAACUGUACGUCAUAUCAGUAUUCAGCAUGAUGGAAUCACUAGAUCUGCUCUGGAUGAAGGUAAAACACUUUGUUGUGACUAUCUUAACGGUAAGAUUGCAGGUCAGCCAUCAAUACCGAUCAAAGAUACAGCGCCCGCCAAUCUGGUGAUUUCUCGUUUCCUUGAAUGCAAUUUCUUAUUGUUUUUGAAGCUGGUACGAAUCAUAUGUUGAUAUGUACGAAUGUUAUCAUGCUUAGUUUCCCGAAAUGUUUUGUUGUUGAUUAUGAAAAAUGAAAGUCUUAGUCGUUAUUCUAAAACAGUGAUAUUGUUUCAGUAUUAGUGGUUUUUUUGGACCCGAUCCUCUUCCAAUGUCCGAGAUUUUUAUUCCCGAUCCUUAACUACUCUUUGUAGUUUCCACGUCCACAUAUCUCAGCUCCGGAGUGUCAUGCCUCCAUGGUCUUGCCCCUUUGCCCGUAGACAGGAGAAAGCCAGAAAAGAAAGCACACUAUCUACUUCGCUAAACAGAAUUCUACUAGUUGAAGGUACUUUGUACGCUAACGUGAAGUCUGAUAAGUAAAUUCACUUGUUGCUAGAGGUGUCAUCGAGUCUUUCAGGGCAGGUGUUUCGAGUCGGUUUAGAAUCGGAUCUUGUGCCCACGUUGAUUUUUACAUUAUUUUAAAUUCAUUUUGAAGUCGGGUUCAGUUCCAAGGUCAGGUAAAUAUCGAGUCAUCGGGUCUGUUUUGAACCUCUCUACUUGUUGCCGAAUCUUGAACAUUUGCAAAUGCAUUAGAGGGUUGUAACACUGUUCCCUGGGAUGACAUUCUAUUCAAAACGGGGAAUGGGAACGAGAACAAGGAAUGUUGUCUAGAUUGAUUCGGGAACGAUUGGGUAUAAAAAAAUAUAUUUGGAAAUAAAAUUAAAUUAAAUUGAUUUUUUUGCUUUUAGAAAUUGUUUUUAAGUGGAUUUUCUUUAGUUUUCUAGGUUUUAACUUCCUUUUUUUUUCUUGUAAAUGAAGGCAAAAAUACCUUUUUAAGAGGUCUUCCAUAUUGGGACGUCAUCUUGAUUGGAGAUGGACGUUCCCGGAUCGCGGAACGUGGAACGUGGCUACGUUCCACGUUUCAUGUAACUAUGGGUUGUAAUGUGAUUUUAUGGUGUGUGUUCAUGGCAUCCAACACUUCCUCUCUUCGAUGUUCAUGUCGUCGUUGUGGUAAAAUCAGAAGGGCGUGCUGGGAGCUCCGACUUAUUGGUGAACUCUUUCACCACUCAACAUUUAGCUGGUAUCCUCGAAGGAGAUUAUUUAGAGUUGGAUGAUCUCGUUUGAGAACCGAUGGUAUUGCA